GACGAACGCUGGCGGCGUGCUUAACACAUGCAAGUCGAACGGAGUGGCGAACGGGUGAGUAACACGUGGGUGAUCUGCCUUGCACUUCGGGAUAAGCUUGGGAAACUGGGUCUAAUACCGGAUAGUGCAAGAUGAGCUCGCGGCCUAUCAGCUUGUUGGUGGGGUAAUGGCCUACCAAGGCGUCGACGGGUAGCCGGCCUGAGAGGUGGUACGGGCACAUUGGGACUGAGAGACGGCCCAGACUGCUACGGGGGGCAGCAGGGGGGAAUAUUGCACAACGGGCGGAAGCGUGAUGCGGCGACGCCGGGUGGGGGAUGAAGGCCUUCGGGGUGUAAACGCCUUUCGACAGGGACGCGGUACCUGUAUAAGAAGCACCGGCUAACUACGUGCCAGCCGCCGCGGUAAUUC
rnacentral:rRNA from 1 species